UACGAAGGGGGCUAGCGUUGCUCGGAAUCACUGGGCGUAAAGGGCGCGUAGGCGGCCAUUCAAGUCGGGGGUGAAAGCCUGUGGCUCAACCACAGAAUUGCCUUCGAUACUGCAUGGCUUGAGACCGGAAGAGGUAAGUGGAACUGCGAGUGUAGAGGUGAAAUUCGUAGAUAUUCGCAAGAACACCAGUGGCGAAGGCGGCUUACUGGUCCGGUUCUGACGCUGAGGCGCGAAAGCGUGGGGAGCAAACAGG
rnacentral:rRNA from 1 species